GACGAACGCUGGCGGCGUGCUUAACACAUGCAAGUCGAACGGAAAGGCCCUGCUUUUGUGGGGUGCUCGCGUGGCGAACGGGUGUGUAACACGUGAGUAACCUGCCCUUGACGUUGGGAUAACUUCAGGAAACUGGGGCUAAUACCGGCUAGGAGCUCCUGCUGCAUGGGGGGGGUUGGAAAGUUUCGGCGGUUGGGGAUGGACUCGCGGCUUAUCAGCUUGUGGGUGGGGUAGUGGCUUACCAAGGCUUUGACGGGUAGCCGGCCUGAGAGGGUGACCGGCGACAUGGGGACUGAGAGACGGCCCAGACUCCUACGGGAGGCAGCAGGGGGGAAUAUUGCACAGUGGGCGGAAGCCUGAUGCAGCAACGCCGCGUGCGGGAUGACGGCCUUCGGGGUGUAAACCGCUGUCGCCUGUGACGAAGCGGGAGUGACGGUAAUGGGUAAAGAAGCACCGGCUAACUACGUG
rnacentral:rRNA from 1 species